AUGAUCUGGCAUAGCCUCCCCAUCCUCUCCUGCCUCCUCGUAGCGGCGGAUGUUUUCUUGUUGCCGAUCUGCGACGCUCACUCCAAAUUCGCCAAGAAGAGCAACGACGUUGUCAACGGCCGCCUCCUCACCUCCAAGCUCGACGCCAAGCGCACAGUGAUCGUCGGCCCGAACGACGAGUUCAAGACCAUCCAGUCCGCUAUCGACGCCGUGCCUGCCGGGAACUCGGAGUGGAUCAUCGUCCAUCUCCGCUCCCCGUCUACGCGUACGUUCCCCAAAACUUAUUGUCUUACACCAUUCAUCUUCAUCAGGGGCAACGGCAAGGGCCGGACCUCCAUCUCCUAUGAGUCCGCCUCCCCACACAACGCCGAGUCUGCCACGUCGAUGCACGUAGACGACAUCAUCGUCUUCGGCCUCAGCUUCAGAACGGUCUGUCGUCUCGUGCUUCCGAACAGCCCAGAUAUCCGCACGGUGGCAGCAAUGGUCGGUGGCGACAAAGUGGCCUUCUACCAGUACCACUGCGCGUUGUACAGCCCCCACCACACCCUCUUCGACCAAGCCGGCCGUCAUUACUACGAGAGCUGCUACAUCCAGGGCAACAUCGAUUUCAUCUUCGGCGGCCAGUCCAUAUUCCAGUGUGCGGAGAUCUUCGUGAAGCCCAACCGGCGGACGCCGAUCUUGGGGUCCAUCGCGGCGCAGGACCGCAAGGAAGAGGACAACAGCAGCGACUUCGUGUUCCUCAAGAGCAAGGUGUACGGUGUAGGGGAGGUGUAUCUGGGCCGCGCCAAUGAGGCCUACUCGCGCGUCCUCUUCGCCGAUACCUACCUCUCCAGGACCGUCAACCCGGCCGGGUGGACGGACUACGGGUACUCAGGCAGCACAGAGUACGUACACCCAAGCAAACACAACGAGCCUCCCAUGCAUGGAUGA
rnacentral:rRNA from 1 species